rnacentral:rRNA from 1 species
UACGAAGGGUGCAAGCGUUACUCGGAAUUACUGGGCGUAAAGCGCGCGUAGGCGGCUGGAUAAGUCGAUUGUGAAAGCCCCGGGCUCAACCUGGGAAUUGCAGUCGAGACUGUUCGGCUAGAGUGUGGGAGAGGGCAGUGGAAUUCCCGGUGUAGCGGUGAAGUGACGUAGAGAUCCGGAGGAACACCAGUGGCGAAGGCGACACGCUGGGCCAUACCGUGACGCUGAAAGCAGCCGACAGCAUGGGGAGCAAACGGG